rnacentral:tRNA from 1 species
UCGGGGCUGGCGACGGUGACGCGGGCCGGUUGAUCUCCGGCGGUGACGGGGUCGCUGUCGCUGGUGUCCGACACGCUGGUGCCGAG